UUUACAUUUUAUUAUAUGACGUAUAAAGAUUUUUGAUAUCUUAGGAAAUAGUUUAAUUCUAUUAAAUGUAAUG
rnacentral:tRNA from 1 species